UGGGGAAUCUUGCGCAAUGCGCGAAAGCGUGACGCAGCAACGCCGCGUGGGGGAAGACGGCCUUCGGGUUGUAAACCCCUUUCAGGAGGGACGAAGCCGUGCCGGUGAACAGCCGGUGGCGGUGACGGUACCUCCAGAAGAAGCCCCGGCUAACUACGUGCCAGCAGCCGCGGUAAUACGUAGGGGGCAAGCGUUGUCCGGAAUCAUUGGGCGUAAAGCGCGUGUAGGCGGCUCGAUAAGUCCGCUCUGAAAGCCCGGGGCUCAACCCCGGGAGGCGGGCGGAAACUGUCGGGCUAGAGUCCGGAAGAGGCGAGUGGAAUUCCCGGUGUAGCGGUGAAAUGCGCAGAUAUCGGGAGGAACACCAAUGGCGAAGGCAGCUCGCUGGGACGUGACUGACGCUGAGACGCGAAAGCGUGGGGAGCAAACAG
rnacentral:rRNA from 1 species